AUACGAGAACAUAUAUCCCAAAUAUCUUUCAGAUACAUACGGACAAACGAACAUGGCCAGAUCAACCAGAGGAUACCGGAAAAUACAAGCCAAUCUGUUAUUUUGAACUCACCUCCACAUAGGAGACUGGGAAAAUGCCCUUGCGAUUGGCUAUUUUUCCCUCAAACCAAUUGCCAUCGACGCGACGGGUGAGUGUGACCAGUUCACCCUUGUUGAGGGACAACUCGACACCGGACUGAGCCUGGAAGUUGUACUUGGCCCGUGCCUGACCCUCCGAGGGACGCUUGGAAGGCGUGCGAGCUCCAUCGCGACUGACAAUCUGUUAACAGACGAGUUUUAAUUGAUUUAUAAAUAAUUGUUUAAUUACAAUGAGAAACUUACCUCCACAUAA